UAAUUGCCUCAUAUUUGUUAUCUUUAUGUGGAUUUUCUUAGAUGCGAAAUUUAUGUCAAUGGUGAUGAGAUGAAUCUGGAAAUACAUCCAACCCAUAUUGGUUUGACAGUGCCCACAUAGGAUUCCACCCAUGUGUACCUACUGAUUCCCAAGGCUUUUUAGGCAGAGGCCCAAAAGGCACAGGACAGGGUACAAGCAGCGAGGACCUUUCAUCUGCUUAUAAAAGUCUCUUGUCAUCAAAGAGCACUUUCAUUCUUCCCUGAGUGGCCUGAGAACACAGAUCUGUUGUGGUGUGGUGAUGGCAUUCUGGGCUUCUGUGUUGAUUGUCCUGGUGACCACUGCCAUGGUAGUGCUGUAUAGGCUGGGGGCCUUGCGCCGGAGGAGAGCCAGAGAGCCCCCUCUGGACAGAGGCCUCAUCCCCUGGCUGGGCCAUGCCAGGGACUUCUAUAAGGAUGCCUCCAGUUUCCUGAAGAGGAUGCAAGAACGUCAUGGGGACAUCUUCACUGUUCAGCUUGCUGGCCAAUACGUCACCUUUAUUGCAGACCCCUUUUCUUUUGAUGCUAUCCUGAAGGAGAAGAGAAACAAGCUGGACACUUCCAAGUUAGUAUCUGGCUUGAUGUUCAAAGUCUUUGAGUUCCAAGGACAUGAAUGUCAUGGAAAUUUCAUGCACAGUUCCACCCCAAAGCACUUGAGGAGUACAGGUUUAGUUGGUAUGACCCAGGCCAUGAUGGAUAGCCUGAAGGUCCUGCUGCUAGAACCUGAUGUUGGUAUGAGACCAGGACCCCAGGAGUGGAAGCAGGAUGAGCUCUUUCAAUACUGCUGCAAUGUUGUCUUUAGAGCUGGUUACCUAGCAGUAUUUGGGAACUUACCUACUAAUGGCAAGGCAGGUCAUGCUCAGGACCUCCUCCAAUCCCAGAAAGUCUUUGAGGAAUUCAGAAAACUUGACACUCUCUUUCCCCGGGCAUUUUUCUCUGUGCUCCUGCCCAAGGAGAAGCAAGAAAUGAAGAGGCUAAAAGACUUCUUCUGGGAUGUUCUCUCUCCACAGCACAUCAUGGAGAAGAAUAAUGUGAGUGAAUGGAUCCGUUCUGCUCAAGAGCAGCAAGCUGAUGAGGGAGUGCCUGAGAUAACUCAGAGACAGUUUAACCUGAUACUGCUCUGGGUAUCCCAUGGCAACACAGGUGUUGUGUCCUUCUGGGCCCUUCUCUUCCUCCUGAAGAAUCCCCAGGCUCUGAAGGCUGUGAGGGAGGAGGCAGAAAGAGUCCUCAGGAAAAUGGGGCAAGAGAUGAGACCAGGUGGGGUGCCCAUCACUGUUGAGUACAGCAUGCUUCAGCAGACCCCAGUGCUGGACAGUGUCAUGGAAGAGACAUUACGCCUGGUGGUUACUGCUUUCCUCACCAGGACUAUUAUGGAGGACAUGAUCCUGAAAAUGGAUGAUGGCAGGGAGUAUGCCCUCCGCCAGGGAGAUGAAGUGUCCAUCUUCCCCUACCUUUUUCUCCAUAGGGAUCCAGAAAUCUACCCAGACCCCACUACAUUCAAAUAUGACCGGUUCUUGAACUCUGAUGGCAGUAGAAAGGUAGCUUUCUACAAGCAAGGGAGAAAGGUCAAAUCACACAUGUUGCCAUGGGGUGCUGGCACCACCAUCUGUCCUGGGAGGUUCUUUGCCCUCAAUGAGAUGAAGAUGUUUGUAUUCUUGAUGGUCGCACAAUAUGACAUGGAGUUAGUUGAUCAGGAGAUGAAGAUCCCUUCAAUAGAUCUGAAUCGAUUCGGAAUCGGUGCCACACAGCCAAUACAUGAUGUCCAAUUCAGAUUUCGGAUGCGCUUCUAGCUUGAUGGUGAAAACUUUGGCACGACUAAAGGAUAUAGUGGGGUAAAGUCAAUUUCCCCUCCCCUUCUAACCACAAACUCCUUUUCCAGAAUCUUUUGUCUUCACCACUCCUGCUCUCCAAUGCCUUUCCCAAUCAACAUACCCAAUUGUCUUUUCUCAGACAUCUUUUACUUGUCUGUAGCUUUUGACCAUCUUGACUAUGUCUUCCUUCUGAAGAUGUUAUUCUUCCAGGGCUUCCUCUGUGACUGUUCCUUAAUCUCUGAGUGAUUCCUCUUUUGUUGAUGGGUAAAGGUUGCACAGAGAUUGAUUUCACUUGAAUAAUAGGGGGAAAAAUCUCCAGACAAUUAGGGCUAUCCCAUGGUGUAAUGAAUUGCAUUGGGCAGUCGGGGUAGGGUAGUGGGGCCAUGCUACUCUUGACUCAUGUAUUCUAUUGUGAAUAAGUCUAUGAUUGUUUCCUUGCUUCUUUUUGACUUUUGUCUGUUAAAUUUGUUUGUGAGAUUUGUUUCCUAUAGGCUUAGUACCAUCCACCUGCAGAUGCCUGAUCACUUUAGCCAGAUGGCACCCCUGGACCUGUCCAAAACUGUGAUGUGUCAUCAUCCCUGUACCUAGCAUUGACCAAGCUUAGGAUGCCUGCUAAAGAAUUGACCUCUUGAAUGGGACUCUUGACCUCUUGGGUCAGGGACAGCUCUACAUCCAUUUUCAGCAGGAAUAUGCUAUGGAGGUUGGAACCUCUAUUCAGAUCAAGCCAAGUCUACAUUCCAGAUCAAGCUGUUGGUUACCUUCCAGUGCAGGAUGUAUGACUACCUUUGGCCAGCUAUAUCUGAAGAAGUUGCGGUAUAUAAUAUUAAUGGAAUACUGCUGUGCUAUAAGAAAUGACAAGCCGACUGAUUUCAGAAAAAUCUAGAAAGGCUUACAUAAACUGAUGCAAAUUGAAGUGAGCAGAACCAGGAGACCAUCGUACACAAUAACAGCAAAAUUGUAUAUCAACUGCAAAUAACUUAGCUAUUCUCAGUAAUACAGUGAUGUAAUUCCAAUACAAUUCCAAAGCACUCAUGAUGAAAAUGAGAAAGAACUGAUGGAGUCUGAAUGGAGAUCAAAGCAUAUUAGUUUUCAUUUUAUUUAGUUUUAUCAUGUUUGUUUUUUCCCCUAUGGUUUGUGACUUCUUUCACAAGGUGACUGCUAUGGAAAUAUGUUUUGUGUGAUUGUAUAUGUGUAACCUAUAUCAAAUUGCUUACCAUCUCAUGAACGGAGGAGGUGAGAGAGGUAGGGAGAAAAUUUGGUACUCAAAAUUUAAAAAAAAUGAAUGUUAAAAGUUGUCUUUACAUAUAAAUGAGGGAAAAAUAAAAUAUUAAAUUUUUAAAAGACCAUUCAACUUCUGGAGGGCAGUCCCUGAUAAGGUAUGGGUUAUAUUUGAUUUCCUCUGAGACCACUACAGUUCAUUUCAAUUCGAUAAGCAUCUCUUUAGCACCUACUGAGUUCAAAGCACUUUUCCUUCUUAUUGUGAGAUUUGUAAUUCAAUGAUCUCUUUUUGUCAUGAUCCAAUGCUCACCAAGGAACUUUUGGAUGAUUUGGUGGGAGUCAGCGCAGUCUAUGGGUGGGAGGUAAUGUGGUAUGGUGGAAAAGACCCUGGGCUUGGAAUCCCACAUCCUGGGUUCAGCCCUACCAUCUUGCUCAAUUACUGUGGGAACUUUAUAGCAGGUCAGUCUCUCUCUGAACCUUAAUUUCCUCCUGGGACAAAUGAGAUAUUUAGAAGGAGAUAGUGUAUAAAGUGUGUCUACCAUUCUAACUCCAAUGUUUUAAGUUCCCUUCCAGCUCUGAUAUUCUGGGAUUAUGUAUGAGAACUUUCUUCCUAGCUUGAGAAUAUGUGGACUUGUUGCCAUGAGUAUGCUUGUCAUCUUGGAGGAUCUAUUAUUCCUUGGUAUUGCAUGAAUAAAUUGACAGCUUGGUUUCUUAGUC